rnacentral:rRNA from 1 species
GAUGAACGCUAGCGGCAGGCUUAACACAUGCAAGUCGAGGGGUAUAGGUUUUCGGACCUAGAGACCGGCGCACGGGUGCGUAACGCGUAUGCAAUCUACCUUUCACAGAGGGAUAGCCCAGAGAAAUUUGGAUUAAUACCUCAUAGUAUAGCAGUUUCGCAUGAAACCACUAUUAAAGUAUCAACGGUGAAAGAUGAGCAUGCGUCCCAUUAGCUAGAUGGUAAGGUAACGGCUUACCAUGGCUACGAUGGGUAGGGGUCCUGAGAGGGCGAUCCCCCACAGUGGUACUGAGACACGGACCAGACUCCUACGGGAGGCAGCAGUGAGGAAUAUUAGUCAAUGGACGCAAGUCUGAACCAGCCAUGCCGCGUGCAGGAUGACGGUCCUAUGGAUUGUAAACUGCUUUUGUACGAGAAGAAACAACAUUACGUGUAAUGUCUUGACGGUAUCGUAAGAAUAAGGAUCGGCUAACUCCGUGCCAGCCGCCGCCGUAACAC